rnacentral:rRNA from 1 species
GUGGGGGACAACGUUUCGAAAGGAACGCUAAUACCGCAUACGUCCUACGGGAGAAAGCAGGGGACCUUCGGGCCUUGCGCUAUCAGAUGAGCCUAGGUCGGAUUAGCUAGUUGGUGAGGUAAUGGCUCACCAAGGCGACGAUCCGUAACUGG